CCUACGGGGGGCAGCAGUGGGGAAUAUUGGGCAAUGGAGGCAACUCUGACCCAGCAACGCCGCGUGAAGGAAGAAGGCCUUAGGGUUGUAAACUUAUGUUGUAAAGGAAGAAAAGAAUGACGGUACUUUACAAGAAAGCCCCGGCUAACUAUGUGCCAGCAGCCGCGGUAAGACAUAGGGGGCAAGCGUUGUUCGGAAUUACUGGGCGUAAAGGGAGCGUAGGCGGGAAAGUAAGAUAGUGGUGAAAUGCCUGAGCUCAACUUGGGAACUGCCAUUAUAACUAUUUUUCUAGAGUGACAGAGAGGAUAUUGGAAUACCCAGUGUAGAGGUGAAAUUCGUAGAUAUUGGGUAGAACACCGGAGGCGAAGGCGAGUAUCUGGCUGUCAACUGACGCUGAGGCACGAAAGCAUGGGGAUCAAACAGGAUUAGAUACCCGAGUAGUC
rnacentral:rRNA from 1 species